UAACGCUUACCGCGAGGGUCCACGGCUUCAUUCUUGAAGUCAGUGAGACCAAGAACCCACCAGUUCCAGACACAAAAGGUGUCCCCACCAUUCCUAUCCUCUUACUUCUCUCGCCUUACAAGCAGGCGUAGCCUGCCUCCUGUGAUUGUCGAAGAGCUGUGGUGUGCUGCUGAGUGGAGUGUGUAUUCCACGUGAGGGGAAGGGUCCAACAGUCCUGGCCAUUCCGACUGCAGUUCCCCAGUUAAUCACCUUGUCAGAUUCUACCUGUGCUCUUCUGUCUGCUGUUAGAAGCCUGUCCCUGGAAAGCUGUUACCAUUUCCCUCUGCAUAACAGCCUCCUCCCAAGCUUGUAUCGGGCUAUGGUUUGCUCAGGCCUGCAGAUAAAACAUCUAAUGAAAAGAACAAGGUAAAAAACCAAAUACAUCCUGGGGCUGACUUUGCUGACUCAAUGGGGCCAUCUGAAACAGCCUCAGAGGUUUGUGAGUUGUCUCACUCUAUUCAUGAGAAUUUUAUAUUGCUGAUUGAACAACUUGGAAUGGAGUGUAAAG